rnacentral:lncRNA from 1 species
CUUUUCGAGGUAGGAGUCGACUCCUGUGAGGUAUGUUUUAUCUUUGCGAAUGUUGCGGGUUUUGGGGCGCUCCAGCCUUUGUCUGCUAAGGUCACCCUGAAUUGACUGGGACUUCUAAGCCAGUCGCGCGCCUUUGCAGGGCCUACAAGUUGAGGAUGGUGGGGGAUUGCACAUAUGGUGCAUGCGUGACCUAAGCUGCGACUAUGUUAGAGUAGAACUGCGGAGAAGCCUCGGCUCUCGUGCCCUGCCUCUGAUGAAGCCUGUGUUGGUAGGGACAUCUGAGAGUAAUGAUGAAUGCCAACCGCUCUGAUGGUGGCACAUGCCGAGUCACCCGAGUAAGCUAUUGUUAAGGGCCGUGACCCGAGCCUCCAUCAGCCGUCCGCUCUCAUGAAAGGCUGUCGGUGGUAGUCCACGUGCUUAAGUGCCUGCAUUCCGCAGUGUCACCAAUAUUUCCAUUAGUGUUUCUUUUUUCUUUUUUGAGACCGAGCCUCGUUCUGUCACCCAGGCUGGAAUGCAGUGGCUCGACAUCGGUUAAUGGCAACCUCCGCGUCCCGAGUUAAGCAGUUCUGCCUCAGCCUCCCAAGUAACUGGGACUACAGGCGCGCGCCACCAUGCUAGGCUUUUAUAUUUUUAGUAGAGACGGGGUUUCACCAUGUUGGCGAGACUGGUCUUGAACUCCUGACCUCAGGUGAUCCACCAGCCGUGGUCCCCCAACAUACUGGGAUUACAAGCCGUGAGCCACCGCGCCCGGCCGCCAUCGGUGGUUCUUAACUGCGGGUGCAGUGCUUCUUUGUAACAUUAAGUGUAUCCUUUACCUGUCGCUAGAUAAUGAAUGGUAUGUUACCUGCAUCAUUGGUUUAAAAAGACGAACCGUUUUUUUAAAGAACACUCUUUAAAAAAAAGAACCGUGGAACAAUGAAUUAAAAUCUGUACCUGAUCUCUUUAGGUAUGGUGCUGGGUGCAGAUGCAGUGUGGCUCUGGAUAGCACCUUAUGGACAGUUGUGUCCCCAAGGAAGGAUGAGAAUAGCUACUGAAGUCCUAAAGAGCAAGCCUAACUCAAGCCAUUGGCACACAGGCAUUAGACAGAAAGCUGGAAGUUGAAAUGGUGGAGUCCAACUUGCCUGGACCAGCUUAAUGGUUCUGCUCCUGGUAACGUUUUUAUCCAUGGAUGACUUGCUUGGGUAUGGAGAGUCGGCUUGACUACACUGUGUGGAGCAAGUUUUAAAGAAGCAAAGGACUCAGAAUUCAUGAUUGAAGAAAUGCAGGUUAGUUUAAACUUUGAAGGAAAUUUUUAAGGUGGCAAAAGGUUUUGGUGGCAUAUACACCUUAAUCUGUAGAUGGGAGUGAUUAGCUGUUUAAAAGUUAAAAUGUGACUGAGAAGGAAAUUGAGUAGGGCAAAUUUUAAAUGGGUAUUAUUUUUCAUCUUCAAACAGGCAGACCUGUUAUCCUAAACUAG